UACGGAGGGUGCAAGCGUUAUCCGGAUUCACUGGGUUUAAAGGGUGCGUAGGCGGACAGGUAAGUCCGUGGUGAAAUCCUGCAGCUUAACUGCAGAACUGCCAUGGAUACUAUCUAUCUUGAAUGUCGUGGAGGUUAGCGGAAUAUGUCAUGUAGCGGUGAAAUGCUUAGAUAUGACAUAGAACACCCAUUGCGAAGGCAGCUAACUACGCGAUAAUUGACGCUGAAACACGAAAGCGUGGGGAGCAAACAGG
rnacentral:rRNA from 1 species